GUCGGGGGGGUCGAAGUCCCCCCAGCAGGACGAGAGCCGGCGAGCGCGAUGCCUGCUGUCGCUGGGGUAAGGCGGCUUCGUCAGCGGGCUCCCCGCGAUCGGGCGACCUGUAGUAGACACCAACCACGAGGUUGGUCGGUUCCCCUUUUUGAGAUUUUUAUAUUAGCAACGCGCAGCGUAGCGUCACUUAUUUUGAAGCUGACAUUUUGCAUUAUACAGGUUUUUAGUUGCUCAUAAAACUUUUGCCGGCUUGCACGAGUCUGAAAUUUUCCAUAAGGGGUGUUGGCCUCAAACUGAAUUUUUUUGGGAAGAUUCCAGACAGUUUUUUCAGCUGCCUGAGAUCAAAAUGCAGAUUAUUUGCCCUUGCUAAAAAAAACAAACCAAACCAAACCCAAAUCGAAAGAAAAAAAAUUUACAUUUAAACAGCAGGAUGGUCCUUGUGUUGAGCAGGGGUCCCUGGCAUUCUCUGGAGAACUGCCAAGUUAUUUGGCUGCAUAAAAGUCUUUGAAAUAUCUUGGUUUACAAAUAUUCAGUAGACUUCUAAAUACUUAGUUGUUAAAGGUAGGGUUUCACAGGCAAUUUUAUUUCUAGCGCUUCCUUAUUAAGUGCUGUGCAAGCUUAAAGGAAUUUUUAAUUGGGUAGGGCGGUUAAUUAUUUAUUCUACCAUUUCAAAUAACAUCCUCUUAGUUUAAACUCUCAUUGGCUUAGGGGGAGAAAGGUUAAAAAAAAAAUCCAAGAUUUACCUUAUAACUCUCUAAGCUCACAUUUCAUUUGCCUUAUUUGUCCAUGAAUCAAAGAUAUCGCCUCCAGAGUUGUUGGCGAGUACACGUAAUAAAGGUAAAAGGACUAGUAAAUAUUCAGCCCGAUACGUUGCUGGAAGUCAGCACUGACAGAUCUUGAAAAAGAAAAGCUAGAGAGGAUUCAAAGAGUUAAAAGGAUUGGACCAACAGGACUCCAACUGAAUGGAGCAAAAGGAAGAAGCAAAGCACAAAUUAAACUUCUAAAAGUCAGGGGUUCUCUGAAGAAGCCCCUCGUCUCUCCCUGUCCUCACCUGACUUGAGGUGCAGAAUCUAUGCUCUACUUUAAUUGAUAGGAGUUUGUGAUCUGCUUAUAUGUGAAGCAGCUUUUCAGCACUCCGUAAGCUGCCAGGUUGCACAGGCAAGUACUGAGAAUCCACUUUUCUGUGACAUGACGUGUCAAAAGAGACCUUUCGAUAAACCUCAAAAUCCUUUCAAAGACAAAUGUGAAGUUUUAACCCCAAAAGUAAAUUCCCAGCAUGAACAUACAAAUCGGUAGAAUUGCAACAGCGUGUAGUAGCCAGUAACGUACAGGAAGAAUUAGGCCUUCAGGAAAAUGGAAAUCAUUUCAGAUCAGAGUUUCCAAAACACUUAAAGCACAAGCUUACCUCUAAGCGCACAAUGGUCCCACCGGUGUUAACAGGACAAUUUAUGUGCCUAAAGCGUACAGGUACAUGGAUUGCAGGGCUGUCCCGGCGUUCGCUGGCUCAGCACGUUUAACACGCGCGUUACCAGACAACUAGGCGAGAAACCAAAACCAUAUGGAGAAUACGGGAAUGCUUGCGAUCGCUGCGGAAGGACUAAUUAUGUUCUCAUAGCUUUUUUUUUGUGAAAAGUAUGGCUCCACAUCAGAUUUAUAAAGGAUUAAGUUGCAUACAGUUACUGCCAAAGGAAUAAAUGGGAGACAAUUUAAAGAAAAAUACCUGUUGCUAAACUUUGUUAUCAACAGCAUUUUGGUUGUAGCCAGGAAAAAGUACAAAAGAAAAAGUGUCCUUCUGUACACCCAGUGCUAAGUCACCAAGGUAAAAAAUGCUUCUUUACUGAAAACCUGCAAAAGCUGCAACUUAAUUCUGUAUGUGUAAUAGUUAGGACUAUGUUGCAAAUGAAAUAUUUUGAGAUUCAUAAUAGGUUACAUAGUCAAAUAAAUGAUAAGCAAAAACAGGAAGAAAAAUGAAUCGGAGAACCUUAAGGCACAUUUGCAGGAGAAAAUGCUUUUCGGAUCUUCACCAUAAACUAAAUAAACUGAAAUAACUAGACAUAGAAUUGUGUAAUGUUUGGCAGGGGAAGAGGCUUUCUAAAUAACAUAAUGAAUCCUGUCUAGUACAUUAGAUUUCUUUACAAACGUCCACAGAGAGGCAACAAAGAAGAGCUGGUGCCCUGAUUCGUUAGAAUCCUUAGGAUUGUGGUACAUGAGACUUAAUUUGUGAAUCUUUUUUUGCAAAUGUACUGAAAUAUUAAAAAAAGGUAUACUAGGCUUUAGAAAGCAACUGCUUGAACUGAAAAGUUGGUGUUUUAUAAAUGCAUACCCUGCAAUUUCUUAAUGAAGCCUUCCUCAAUGCAAGUAAAUAUCAUAUAAACAUUAUUUCAACUAAAAUAUUUCAACAGUUUUCAUCCAUGCUUGAACAUGGUGUUCUGGUUCCUUGUAUUUUAUAAAAGACAUUGAAGAAUAUGUAUUUAUUUGAAUAUUUGAGGUAAUUCCUUCAGCAAGAUGCCUGUUCCUUGGCACCAAAAGUCUCUUGCCUAUUCCUUCUUCGUUGCACAGUACCCAUGUUAGGAGACUUGUUUGUUUGGUUUUUUGUUUGGGUUUUAAUCCUUUCAAGGUAAGAAAGGAGGAGAACUUAUUUAUGUACUUGUAACAGUUACGUACAGUUUUUGACUGUCACAGCUGGUAUGUUAUUCACCACAUACCAAAGCCUCUGUAAAAAUGUUUAUUCUACCUGGUUUAGUCUGGAAAGGCAUGAAACAAGCACUUCUGCUAUGCCAGGAGGAUGGACUGGAGUCGCGCUGGAAAUUAGAUGCGCAAGUAUAGAUGUAGCUUUACAGAAACAAGAGCAGCAACACAAAGCCAGAGCGCGUUCGUCAUUUUAGCGUCAUGGUAAAUGAACAUCAGCUAUUAAGCCAACUGUGCCAAAAGAAUUAUGGCAAUGGAGGAACUGAUGAAUGACAAGCAGUGUAUGCAGCGAGUGGGGAUUGCAGUAAAAAGGCAACUGAACGUAUCCUGCAUGCACAAGCACCAUCGUAUGGUCAGGAGGUGACAGGGUCUGGAAACCAGCAGUUUGUGCAAUGCUGCUGCUGUUAUUAAAGGCAGGGCAGCUGUUUGAAGCUUUGUCAAUGUUUAGCCCCGGCCUUGCAGCAAGAAGUGACCCGGAACGGCUCAUGGAAAAACAGCAGAAACUCCUUUUCCAGCAGCGAGCUAGAAGGAACUUUUGAAAGGGCUACAAAACUAAUGCAACAAAAACAUAAUUUUAAAAUGCUUUUGGAUUUUGUAUAUACUAGAACAAAAUCAGCAAAGAUGUUAAUUGAAAAUUCAUGCUUCACCCCUCCAGAACAAAAUCUGAGAUUUGGCUGGAAACGGCAUUUCCCAAAUGCAUACUGAAGUCUCAGAAAUAAUUUCCAACACAGCGCUUUAACUGUGCACCAUUGCACAAGAUAUCUACUUAUUUGUAUUGAAGAAGCAUGAUGUAUUACAUCAUGCUGCCUUCUUAAAUAUUGAAGUAAUGCAGCCUGGCACAGCAAUGUCUUCAGUCAGCAUUGUAUCCUUUAA